rnacentral:misc_RNA from 1 species
AAUUUUAUUUAUUUUUAUAUAUAUACAUUCAGAAUAGCAAAGUAGUAUAAUACAAUAGCACUGAUAAGCAGGGUGCAUAAAGAGUAAGAGAUAAGAGCGGCAAAGGUCGAAGAACAAUAGCGACGAUUUUCGAGGAACAAUAGAUAAGAGGACAAUAGAUCAUUGCAUAGUAAUUAAGGGUACUGGAGUUUGCAAAUGUAGAAACCUAAGUCGCGAACCGUUAGAGUUAGCACAAAAUGGAUGCGUGCAAUCGAUUUAGAUGACCCCAAAAUCUUUUUUUUUUUAGGAUCAUCCAAUCGUCAGCCGAUGAAGGCCGACCGCUUGGCUCGUGAGCCAGAACUGGUACAAACACACUACUACUAU